GACAGAGGUGGCAAGCGUUGUUCGGAUUUACUGGGCGUAAAGAGUGCGUAGGUGGUGAGGUAAGACCUGUGGGAAAGACCUGGGCUUAACCCAGGAAGGUCGCAGGUGACUGCCUCGCUUGAGGACGGGAGAGGAGAGCGGAAUUCCCGGUGUAGCGGUGAAAUGCGUAGAGAUCGGGAAGAAGGCCGGUGGCGAAGGCGGCUCUCUGGAACGUUCCUGACACUGAGGCACGAAAGCGUGGGGGAGCAAACAGG
rnacentral:rRNA from 1 species